rnacentral:rRNA from 1 species
GACGAACGCUGGCGGCGUGCUUAACACAUGCAAGUCGAACGGAAAGGCCCUGCUUUUGUGGGGUGCUCGAGUGGCGAACGGGUGAGUAACACGUGAGUAACCUGCCCUUGACUUUCGGAUAACUUCAGGUAACUGGGGCUAAUACCGGAUAGGAUCUCCUGCUGCAUGGUGGGGGUUGGAAAUUUUCGGCGUUUGGGGAUGGACUCGCGGCUUAUCAGCUUGUUGGUGGGGUAGUGGCUUACCAAGGCUUUGACGGGUCGCCGGCCUGAGAGGGUGACCGGCCACAUUGGGACUAAGAGAGGGCCCAGAGGCGUACGGGAGGCAGCAGUGGGGAAUAUGGCACAAUGGGCGGGAGCCUGAGGCAGCGACGCCGCGUGCGGGAUGCCGGCCUUCGGGGUGUAAACCGCUUUAGCCUGUGACGAAGCGGGAGUGACGGUAAUGGGUAAAGAAGCACCGGCUAACUACGUG